CGCCGGGAUCCGGGUCCCGGUGCUUCUCGGUUCAUUCCCAGCUGGGUCCGGGCCCGGCCAGACUGGGUGGAAAUCUGGCUGACCUUGGUGGUCUGUCUUGGCCAGCUGGAGCAAAGGGAUGCCAGGGGACGGGUCUCGGUGCAGUGACUGCCAUUAGCUUGGGGCCGCAGAAAGUUUCUCCCCUUUCUCGGGCUCCUGCCAGGCCCUUGGCUUUCAGAGCCAGGCCCGAUUUCUAGAUAACAUUUAAGUUUGCAGAAAAGGGGAUGCCAAGUCACGGUGGUCACGGCUGUGGGAUGCAGCCUCUGAGAUUUGUAUUAAUUUUUGUGAGCCGGGGAAAGGCCUUGCUGCUUUCUCCGCCAGGACUGAUGUGUCUUCCCAAGAUGAAAGUGCCUGGUGCUGCUGCUUUCUCCCCUGAUGGGAAGUGGAAGCCAUGAUUCUGCAGUCCUGGCCAUAAAGCUGUGAAUUGUACUAGCUGGCACAGCCAGUACU
rnacentral:lncRNA from 1 species